CGUGAUUCCUAGUUAUGCACAUAGUAGAGCACACGCUGUGUUCUAAUGUUCACAGAUGACUGUGCCUUAUUGUAUUGUUCUCUUAGCACAGGGUUUGUUACAUCAUAGGUGAGCCAUCAAAGAUUUAAAGAAAAAUAAAAUAUUAGAGGCAAGGAAACAAGUCAUUCAUUCUAGAAACAAAAACAUGAACCACAGAUCAGCCAAGACUCUUCAUAUUCCACAAUUCACCAUCAGAAAGACGGCACGCUCCUCUGAUUCACAGUUUCAGAGUCCAUGCACUUUGUCAUCCACAUCAUCAUCCAUUAUCCAUUUUUCUGCCAGGCUGAGAAAACACUGAAGGAUGAAAACACUUUCAACUGACAUUGGGAGAGUGAAAUAACACACCGAACAAGCAGUGGUUCAGGGACUCUAUUUCUUCCUGGUGUGUAAAUGACUGCAGCCACGCUGUUCAGUAGAUUGAUGGAAAGAUGAAGGGACAGAGUAGCCUACAUUCCACCAAUCUAUUUCAAGGAUGACAAGACCUUCAUGACGCUUGAAAGGACAUUUCUAUUUCUUAUUUUUAAAAAAAUAUUCAACUGUUUAAAUAUUAGUGAAGAUAAAUGUUAAAAACACUAGUAGGAUAUAAAAGUUGCAAUCUUAAAAGGAUCACAUUUAGGCUACUGUAGAUAUCUUGAAAUACUCUGCUUUUGGUAGGCAGAAAAUAGAGUAUGAUGUUUCCAUGAAGCUUAGCCAAGUGGAGGAAAUUUGGCCUAAUUGAACAAGAACUUAUCACAAUGUAUUUUCAGGACCUCUGUAUAGGAGCGUAUGGAAUCUAACAAAUGUGUUCAAAUUCACUAACCUUGUCAGUCUUAUUUAUAUAAUACUGAACAAUGCAAAAUAAAAUCUUAUAAACAGCCAUUUAAUACUUGGGUGUAUGUGAAGUUUGUCUUUAAAAAAUUUCAUUUUAAAAUGGUAAGUGAAGGUCUCUGCAACGUUGAAGUUCCCAUGUAUAUAAUGUUUUGUUUGUAACUUCUUAGAAGAUAGUAUCAGUUGAGAAACAUAGCUGAACUGACCAAGAUAAAUAGGGAAGAUUUUACUUUACUCUUUAAUUUAUAAUCAUAUUAAAACAAUUCCUUCUUACUGAGAGUUAGAGCAAAAUGAUUGUUGAAUAUUUUUCAGUUCCAUAAUAGACUCUCUCCAGGAAACAAAACAGACAAAUCAGUACACCAAAAUGGUGCAAAUAAUUUUCCUUUGAAUGGCAG
rnacentral:lncRNA from 1 species